rnacentral:lncRNA from 1 species
GUGCUUUUUCUCCCUCGCUUGGUGCGUGCGUGAGAGCUGAGGAACCGAGCGAAGCAAGAAUGCACGCGCACAGACCGAGAAAAAUAUCUUCAUCUCUCAUCUUGAGCGCUCUGGACCGAAUCCAGUGUCCACGCCCGCGGUCGAAGCCAGUUGCAGCUGAAUAUCUUCGUCGAGCAAUUUCGUCGUUGAAUUGAUUCGUCGCCUUAGCUUCGUUUUCGUGAGAUUCUCCAAGUCUUUCAGUGUCUUCAUUUAUUAGCAGGUAACCGUUCGGAUCGGAUCUCCCCAAGGUAGGAUGCGGUCGAUUCAUGGAGACUCGAUCAUACGAUUCUUCUGUAUUUGCCUUUUGCUGAGAGUUUCAAAUUGUUAUCUCAAAUUGCUUAUGUUAUAUUGCUCGCCGAUUGAUAGGAAUUCCUAUUUCUAGAACACCUCACCAUUCAUGAUCACCACCUGUUCGACGUUUUGCCUCAGAGAUGAUAAUGACGAAUUUGUCUUUCUUUUUUUUUGGUGAAAUGACGAAUUUGUCUUCAUCAUUGAUCAAUCUGAGAUUGCAUAGGAGUGAUCUGGAUGUUCUUGUUCGACAUGCUGAUCAUAUAUUGUGAAUUUUGAUGCUUCAUCCUUUGAUGGCAGAGAGUUCUCUUUCCCUCGGUGCUUCGGCUUACUUUGUCUCCUUUGGUUGUGUGACUAAAUUGUCAUCUGGUAUAACAGUAAGUCACUAUACAUUGGUGGUGAAUAAAUCACAGCCAAGCAAUAUCUAGUUCAAUCUCGUUUUUAUGCUCCUAAAAGACCAUUCCACCAGAGUUUGAGAGAGAGAGAGUCUUCAACCUAAUUUAAAUUCAAAAUAUGCGGAAAUGGUACGAGAAAUGCUCAGGGAUCGGAAGUUUAGUUAAGUUGAGAAAUUAUGGAUAUAUGAAAGCAGUUAAGUUAAGAACUCAUGGAUAUAUAAAAGAAGUUAAGUUAAGAAAUGGACAUUGACAUGGUAAUAAUCAAAGGGAAUUUAACACUUAUGAAUAGAGGAUAUGCAGAGGAAAAAGAAAUGUUGAAAUUAUGCUGGAACCCAGCCAAAAUAACUGCUAAUUUCCCUUUGAGUAUUGUGUCAACAUCGAUGUCAAUGUCUCCAUUCAAGUGUCAUUUGUACGAACUAUGAUUAAUUUCAAUUCCAGCAAUGUCAAUGUCCUAGUAAUCUCGUUUUCAGUUAAUUUUGUUCGGCUCGUUCCUUUGAGUUCGUGUUCUUUGCUUUGAUUUCCCUUAUUCCCUGCAUUGCACCUUUAAAUAAUUCACAGUACUUCUACUUUAAUUUCCAAGCAAUUUGCUAUUCCUGUCAUUUAGAUCGAUUUCCAUCAAACAAUUUUAUCCAUUGAUUCCAGGAGCUAGCACGCACACACGCACACCAUCAAAGCCAUCUUUGGAAAAAUUGUUUGUGGAUAGUUUAAUCACUUUAGUGACAAGCUAGAAUCAGAAAGUAACCUCGGAAUUUGUUUUCCCAAUCGCUUGACAGUCUGAUCAACUUAUCAUUUAGCUAAACAUGUUGAUGUACACAAGUGAUCGCGCUAUAAUAGGAUUCUAAAUUUAGAUGCCAUCGGUUCAGGAGGUGGCUCCCACCAUGUGACAAUUUAUCCUAACGAGGUUCAAGAGGUAGCUCUCACGGCGUCACACUUUGUCACAUUUAGCAUUUUGUUCACAUUAUACACAAAUGUCGGUCCAUAUACGAUGCACAUGCAUGAUGACAUCUGUUCAUGUAUCUCAUGCUUGACACCUUACAUAAUGAAUAAUGAAUAAUGAUUUUUCAAGGAGAUUUGUGGUACAUAAAUAUGUACUUGCUUCCCAACCCAAUAUGGUUUUCAAUAGGAGUAAUGAUUCAUGAGUUGAAGGAAUCUGCCGAAUCUACAUAUACCAAAUUGAGCUGGCUCUAGAAGAACUUGUUACAUGUCCGCUUGCUAAUUUCCAAUUCAAAAUCCAUAGUUUCUACUUUUCCUUUUGAUAUUAAGAAGAGCAGUGUGCUAGACCCAAAUUUGGUGAUAGCAACUUGGAAUUUUCUUUGCAGGAUUUCGGUGCAUAGACUUAAUUCUAUUUCAGCGCAUAAAUCCGAAAAUUCUCAAUAUGAAUGUUAGUAUCUUUUGGCACCCUUGCUUUCCAGCAGCGGAGUUCACGUGGAGCUUACCUCCUUCCCUGCUAUUCCCACAUCCCUCUCUCAUUUGCUUUGUCC